rnacentral:pre_miRNA from 1 species
UUUCAAAGCGGCAGCGCAGCGUGGAGCCUGGGGCCAAUGGGGGACUUAGAGUCCUUGCUGAGCCUGGGCUCCAUGCUGCGCUGCCGCUUUGAAA